rnacentral:rRNA from 1 species
AGAGUUUGAUCAUGGCUCAGAACGAACGCUGGCGGCAGGCCUAACACAUGCAAGUCGAGCGCGUGUAGCAAUACACGAGCGGCGCACGGGUGAGUAGCGCGUGGGAAUCUGCCCUGUGGUGGGGGACAACCUCGGGAAACUGAGGCUAAUACCGCAUAAGUCCUUCGGGAGAAAGACUUCGGUCGCCAUAGGAGGAGCCCGCGUCCGAUUAGCUAGUUGGUGAGGUAACGGCUCACCAAGGCGACGAUCGGUAGCUGGUCUGAGAGGACGGCCAGCCACACUGGGACUGAGACACGGCCCAGACUCCUACGGGAGGCAGCAGUGGGGAGUAUUGGACAAUGGGGGAAACCCUGAUCCAGCCAUGCCGCGUGAGUGAUGAAGGCCUUCGGGUUGUAAAGCUCUUUUAGCGGGGAAGAUGAUGACGGUACCCGCAGAAUAGCC